rnacentral:rRNA from 1 species
GGACACGACUCUCGGCAAUGGAUAUCUCAGCUCUCACAUCGAUGAAGAGCGCAACAAAAUGUGAUACGUGGUGCCAAUUGCAAAAUCCUGUGAACCAUCAAGUCUUUGAACGCAAGUUACGCCCGAGGCCAGCCAGCCGAGGGCACGUCCGCUUGGGCGUCAAGC